GGAUCAGUACGUUGGUCGUGCCUUAGGUACGUACUGGUGUUACUGGUUCCUACCUUCUGACGAACCAUCAUGUCAUUAAUUUGGUGUGGCGGGGAAUCAGGACUGUUACUUUGAAAAAAUUUUAGAGUGUUUAAAGCAGGCUCGCGCUUGAAUACAUUAGCAUGGAAUAAUGAAAUAGGACGUUGAUCCUAUUUUGUUGGUUUCUAGGAUUGACGUAAUGAU
rnacentral:rRNA from 1 species